GAUCAAGUGACUAAGUGUAUGUGGUGGAUGCCUUGGCGAUCACAGGCGAUGAAGGACGUGACAGCCUGCGAAAAGCUGCGGGGAGUUGGCAAAUAAACUUUGAUCCGCAGAUGUCCGAAUGGGGGAACCCACCUCUUUUGAGGUAUCUCUAGCUGAAUACAUAGGCUAGGGAGGCGAACGGAGUGAACUGAAACAUCUAAGUAACUCCAGGAAAAGAAAUCAACCGAGAUUCCGAAAGUAGCGGCGAGCGAAAUUGGAUCAGCCUAAUGCUCGAUAACAACGGCUAAUACUGGCACAGUCUGGAAAGUCUGGCUAUAGAGGGUGAUAGCCCCGUACAGGAAAUUAGCGUUGUGGUACUAAGUGCAUGAAAAGUAGGGCGGGACACGUGACAUCCUGUCCGAAGAUGGGGGGACCAUCCUCCAAGGCUAAAUACUCGUGAUCGACCGAUAGCGUACCAGUACUGUGAAGGAAAGGCGAAAAGAACCCCGGGAGGGGAGUGAAAUAGAACCUGAAACCGCAUACAUACAAACAGUAGGAGCCUCGUUAAGGGGUGACUGCGUACCUUUUGCAUAAUGGGUCAGCGACUUACGUUUAAUGGCAAGCUUAACCGAUUAGGGGAGGCGUAGCGAAAGCGAGUUCGAAUAGAGCGAUUUGAGUCGUUAGGCGUAGACCCGAAACCAGAUGAUCUAUCCAUGGUCAGGUUGAAGAUGUGGUAACACACAUUGGAGGACCGAACCGACUAGUGUUGCAAAAUUAGCGGAUGAACUGUGGAUAGGGGUGAAAGGCUAAACAAAUCUGGAGAUAGCUGGUUCUCCCCGAAAACUAUUGAGGUAGUGCCUCGUGUAUAACUCCAGGGGGUAGAGCACUGUUAUGGCUAGGGGGACAUGGCGUCUUACCAAACCAUGGCAAACUCCGAAUACUUGGAAGUUGAGCACGGGAGACAGAGCACCGGGUGCUAACGUCCGGACUCAAGAGGGAAACAACCCAGACCGCCGGCUAAGGUCCCUAAUAUUGUCUAAGUGGAAAACGAAGUGGAAAGGCUAAAACAGUCAGGAAGUUGGCUUAGAAGCAGCCAUCCUUUAAAGAAAGCGUAAUAGCUCACUGAUCGAGUCUUUCUGCGCGGAAGAUGUAACGGGGCUAAGACAAUAACCGAAGCCGCGGAUUCACACGUAAGUGUGAGUGGUAGGGGAGCGUUCUGUAAGCCUGCGAAGGUGGCUUGUAAAGGCUGCUGGAGGUAUCAGAAGUGCGAAUGCUGACAUGAGUAACGUUAAAGUGGGUGAAAAGCCCACUCGCCGUAAGCCCAAGGUUUCCUGCUCUACGUUCAUCGGAGCAGGGUGAGUCGGCCCCUAAGGUGAGGCUGAUAAGCGUAACUGAUGGGAACAAGGUUAAUAUUCCUUGACCGCCGUUGAGUGCGAAGGGGGGACGGAGUAUUGAAGAUCAUCCGGGUGUUGGAUAUCCCGGUUUGCGCGCGUAGGAGGCUGAUAGGCAAAUCCGUCAGCGAAUCUCCGAGGCAAAGCAUCGAGACCUUUUAGGUCGAAGUGAUUGGAUGUGCUCCCAGGAAAAGCCUCUAAGCUCCAGCUCAACGGGACCGUACCGCAAACCGACACUGGUGGGCGAGCUGAAUAUGCUCAGGCGCUUGAGAGAACUCAGGAGAAGGAACUCGGCAAAUUGACACCGUAACUUCGGGAUAAGGUGUGCCUUUGUAGUGUGAAGGAAGAAACAUCCGGAGCAUGAAGAGGUCUCAGAGAAUUGGUGGCUGCGACUGUUUACUAAAAACACAGCACUCUGCAAAGACGAAAGUCGACGUAUAGGGUGUGAUGCCUGCCCGGUGCUGGAAGAUUAAUUGAUGGGGUGCAAGCUCCUGAUCGAAGUCCCAGUAAACGGCGGCCGUAACUAUAACGGUCCUAAGGUAGCGAAAUUCCUUGUCGGGCAAGUUCCGACCUGCACGAAUGGCAUAACGAUGGCCACACUGUCUCCUCCUGAGACUCAGUGAAGUUGAAGUGUUUGUGAUGAUGCAAUCUCCCCGCGGCUAGACGGAAAGACCCCAUGAACCUUUAC
rnacentral:rRNA from 1 species